CCAGGCCACAACAAUGGCCACCGCCAGUGUCCCAGUCCCUGGAGAGGUCUCACCUCUCAGCGAGAUGCACUCAGGGCAUAUCAGCCGCCGCCACAGCAUGGCCACUGAGAGACAAGGGGUGUAGGUCCACACCCAGGAACCAAACCCGGGCUGCUGAAGUGGAGCACACUGAAUUUAACCACUAUGCCAAUCGGGCUGGCCCAAGGUCUAGAGUGCUUGCUGAUUCUCCCUAGCUGUGGCUCUCUGAAGAGGCCUCUCCCCACUGAGACCUACAGGGAAACACAGCUAGACGCCAGAUUCUUCUCCCUGGAGGCAACCAUCUUGUGAGGUUUCUUCGAUGAGUAUCUUUGGACAUGCAUCAAUUGGCAAAUGUUGACAUGCAUCAUAGGACACAUUUCUGA